rnacentral:rRNA from 1 species
GACGAACGCUGGCGGCGUGCUUAACACAUGCAAGUCGAACGGAAAGGCCCUGCUUUUGUGGGGUGCUCGAGUGGCGAACGGGUGAGUAACACGUGAGUAACCUGCCCUUGACUUUGGGAUAACUUCAGGAAACUGGGGCUAAUACCGGAUAGGAGCUCCUGCUGCAUGGUGGGGGUUGGAAAGUUUCGGCGGUUGGGGAUGGACUCGCGGCUUAUCAGCUUGUUGGUGGGGUAGUGGCUUACCAAGGCUUUGACGGGUAGCCGGCCUGAGAGGGUGAGCGGCCGGGGUGGGACUGAGAGACGGGCCGGACGCGUACGGGGGGCAGCAGGGGGGAAUAUUGCGGAAGGGAGUAAAUUCGGGCGCAGUGACGGGGCGUAGAGGAAGAAGGUGGUAGGAGUGUAAACUACUGUGGGUAGGGAAGAGCAAGGACAGUACCUAAGGAGGGAGCUCCGGCUAGCUACGUG